rnacentral:rRNA from 1 species
AUUGAACGCUGGCGGCAGGCCUAACACAUGCAAGUCGAACGGUAACAGGAAGACGCUUGCUUCUUUGCUGACGAGUGGCGGACGGGUGAGUAAUGUCUGGGAAACUGCCUGAUGGAGGGGGAUAACUACUGGAAACGGUAGCUAAUACCGCAUAACGUCGCAAGACCAAAGAGGGGGACCUUCGGGCCUCUUGCCAUCGGAUGUGCCCAGAUGGGAUUAGCUAGUAGGUGGGGUAACGGCUCACCUAGGCGACGAUCCCUAGCUGGUCUGAGAGGAUGACCACCCACACGGAAACUGGGAACGGGUCAGACCCCCUAGGGGAGGCAGCGGGGGGAAAAUUUGGAAAAGGGGGGGAAGCUUGCGGCACCCAGGCCGGGGGUAUAAAGAGGGCCUUCGGGUGGGAAAGUACUUUAAGCGGGGAGAAAGGGUGUAAAGUUAAUACCUUUGCUCUUGACGGUACCCCGCAAAAAAGGCACCGCUAAACACCUG